ensembl:lncRNA
AGGGACAUUCUAAAAGUGCCUAUCAUCUUGGCCUUGGGCAUACCAACAUGUGGCCCAGAGCAGGCUGGGGCUGAGAAGAACCUCUCAGGAGUGGCAGUGUCAAAGGGGCUGGGGCUCCGAGUGCUAUGGAUCAAACCCAGGACCUCAGCCAUGCUAAGAAAGUGCAGAACCACUGAGCUACAACCCUAGCAAGAAAGGAUGCUUCUGAAAGACAUUGGAAGUUGUCUUCAUUGGCAGUUGCUUCAGUGGCCAGCAAAGUAUUUGACAGAGCAAACACCUUGAAACUCUGAAGCACAGACUACCUAAUCUGUUUUUUUAAAUUUAGUUUAUAGGGGCUGGGGAUUUAGCUCAGUGGUUUUGCCGACUGCCCUGAAAGUGCAAGGACCCGAGUUCGAUCCCUGGUACCAAAACAAACAAACAAACAAACCCAAAAUUUAGGUUAUAAUUCAUAUACCAUAAAACUUACGUGUGUGUGUGUGUGUGUGUGUGUGUGUGUGUGUGGUACUAGGGUUUGAACUAGAGUCUUAGCACUGAGCUACAGCCCCCAUAUUUUAUUUUAUAUUUUGAGAUAGGAUCUCUCUAAGUUGCCCAGACUGGAUUUGAACUUGUGAUGAUGCUCCUGCCUGAUAUAAAAUUUACCCUUUGGGAAGUGCACAAUUUAAUGGUUUUAUAAUAUUCACAAAGUUGUUCAACUGUUACUGCCAUCUAAUUCCAGAGCAAGCUGCUUCUGAAGCUUGUAGAUGUUAAAUGAGGAGGUCCUUGGGUUUUGAACAUAUUUACAAAACAUAAACACAUAGCACUUCCCCAUUGUGUUCAAAGGCCGAAUAAUUGACAACAGGGAAGACAGAAAUAUACUAGCUGGAUUAAACAAAAGCUGUCACAUAAUUGGUGGCUGGGAUUUAAAAAUGAGAAAGAUGAUUCAGUAAGCUCAGCUAAUGACGGCCCCUCUUCCAUUCAGCACCCAUAUUUUUGCGACAGCACUAAAGCCCAGAAUUGAAAUAAACUGCCCGAGAGCCAGGACUUCAAAUGGAUGUUUUAUGCUGUUCAAUCAAGAUUUUAGCAAAUAAGGAAGCAUAUGCAAUCAUACUAAUAUAUUUCUAGUGGG